rnacentral:tRNA from 1 species
UUUGAGUAGUUUAAAAAAAGAAUUAUAAUUUGUGGUGUUAUAGGUGGAUUUAUCCCUCAGAUC